UGGAUUGAGAGACACACAUAGCUGGUCAAACACGAUUUCAGCCAUGAAUCAGGCAUAAAUAUUCUGAUGGUUAAUUGUAGACAUCUACUUGACUGGAUUGAGAGACACACAUAGCUGGUCAAACACGAUUUCAGCCAUGAAUCAGGCAUAAAUAUUCUGAUGGUUAAUUUUAGACAUCUACUUGACUGGAUUAAGGGACACACAUAGCUGGUCAAACACAAUUUCAGCCAUGAAUCAGGC
rnacentral:lncRNA from 1 species